rnacentral:lncRNA from 1 species
GUGUUAGGGUUCUAGAAUAGUAGAGGGACUAAAAUGUAAUUUUCCCAACAUGGGAUUUUUCAGAAACAAGAUGGGUAGAAAUUAGUAUAAAAGAGUAGUAUCAAAAGUGUUAUGUCAAUUCCUUGUAAUUCAUUUUCAUGUAUUUAUUAAGGGGGGGGUGUCACCUCAGACAUAUUGAUGUCUCCUCCUGCCAUAGUUCAACUUGUCCUAAUGGCUCUUUAGGGGGGAGUGACUAGUUGGCCACCAGUGAGGACUGGGCCCAGCUGGCCACCGUAGGCCUAUCGAGUCCCUGUGUUGUGCCUCCACCCUUGUAGGCGUUCCCCCCUGUCUGCAAGUGGUGUGAGGACCUUUGUGCUGAGUUGUGUAAUGAUUGUUUUGCCCCUGGAAUGAAAUGAGUAGCCCUUUUUAUCAAAUAUUUGUGCCUACAUGUGAUACUUUUGUUGCUUAUGCCUUUAUGCUUGUUGGAUGUUGAUAUUUGCUCGAUAUGUAUUGAUCUUGCUCGCUUUAAUAGCUUUCUAGCCUCUCGGCUAACCAACUUGCUUCGUCGUGCAGAUUAACGUGUAGACACAUUGGCUGACUUGCCUUGAUAGUGUUCAAGUCAAGUGCCACACGGUCCCAACUGAGAGCCAAAGCCUGGGCCCGUGACAUUUGGUAUCAGAGCUCGAACGAUCUACGAGAGUGUGAAAGCAUGACGAAGUCAGCAACCCGCAUUGAUGCCCUUGAGAGGAGGGUUGAUGAUCUUGCUGCGUUGUCUAAUACAUAUGCCACCCAAGAGGGGAUGGCACUGGAGUUUGAUACCGUUUACCAGCGCAUGGCGCUGCUUGAAGAGAAAAAUGAGCAACUAUUGGCUGUGAUAGCCAAGUUGUCCAGAAGUGAACGGGAGCCCACGGUGGUGGAGCCAAUCCAAAAUUCCCCUGUUGGGAAUGACACCCGGUGGGGUGAUCUUGAAACAAAAGUGAAUGAACUGGGGGCGGUGGCCUCUCAAGUUGAUGAAAUGACGGAAAAUCUAAAAUCUCUUGCUGAUGCUCACACUUCCCUAGUGGGGGUUGUUGAUGAGAUCAAGGACAAUGUCAAAGACACCGUGGAUGUUAUAAGAGAGGGUGUUGAAAAUACCGUGAAACCUAUAGAAGAUGACAUACAGGGGCUUAGGGCACAAGUGAAUGUGCUGAUGAGAACAGCUGGGACAAGCCAAAUUCUUCACUAAAUUAGAUCUCCGAUCAGGGUACCAUCAGGUGCGGAUUAAGGAAGGAGACGAGCCCAAAACAACCUGCGUGACACGGUAUGGUGCUUUUGAAUUUCUUGUUAUGCCUUUUGGACUAACCAAUGCUCCUGCCACCUUUUGUACUCUAAUGAAUCAGGUAUUUCACGAAUACCUUGAUCAGUUUGUAGUGGUCUAUCUCGAUGAUAUUGUCGUGUACAGCUCCUCCAUGGAAGAACACCGGAAACAUCUCCAACUAGUCUUUGAAAAACUGAGGGAGAACAAAUUAUUCUUAAAGAAGGAAAAAUGUGCUUUUGCUCAAACCCGGAUUCAGUUCUUGGGUCAUGUGAUUGAACGAGGGCGUAUAUGCAUGGAUCAGGGUAAGAUAAGAGCCAUCCAAGAAUGGAGUGUGCCGAGGGGCGUGACAGAGUUGAGAUCCUUCCUCGGGUUGGCAAAUUACUAUAGGCGAUUUGUGAAGGGAUACUCUCACAAAGUAUGUCCGCUUACAGAAUUGCUAAAGAAGGGAAACAAGUGGCUAUGGACGAAGGAGUGCCAAGCUGCUUUUGAUGAUGUAAAAGAAGCUAUCACAGCAGAACCAGUAUUGUCUCUUCCCGACAUGAACAAGCCUUUUGAGGUACAGACUGAUGCAUCAAACUUAGCAUUGGGGGGAGUCCUGAUGCAAAACGGUCAUCCAAUCGCUUUUGAAAGUCGCAAGUUGAAAGAUGCAGAGAUUCGUUACACUGCCCAGGAAAAGGAGUUGCUAGCAGUUGUACAUUGUUUACGUACAUGGAGACACUACUUGUUGGGGUCAAAGUUUGUGGUAAAGACAGAUAAUACAGGGGUCAGCCAUUUCUUUUCACAACCGAAAUUAUCACCUAAACAAGCCAGAUGGCAGGAGUGCUUAGCGGAAUUUGAUUUCCAAUUUGAAUACAAACCUGGGAGUUCCAAUAGAGUUGCAGAUGCCUUAAGCAGAAAGUCAGAAGUUCUCACUCUUAGCCGAAUUGCUCAGUUGUCUCAAAGCCGAGUGGAGAACUCAGUGGGGGAUCGGAUUCGAGGAAAUUUGAAGAAGGACCCUCAAGCACUAGCCUUGUGGAACCUAAUUCAAGAAGGGAAGACUCGCCAAUUUUGGAUAGACAAUGAUCUAAUUUUGACGAGGGGAAGUCGAGUAUAUGUGUAACAGCCCGGCCUUCCUCCGAGACCGGCACUGCUACCACCCACAGCCCGUGACCUCCUUCGGGCCCCGCCACUGUGAGCAGCUCUUAACAUCCCUUCACCCUCACGGGAUCCAGGCAGGAUUUGUCCCUCGGGAGAGCACCUACGGCCCAUCUUACCCCAAGUGGAUUUGGCCCAAAUUUCCCUUUGGAAAUUAGGUCGCCUCCCCCACUGCUCGAACCCUUGACCUCCCACUUUAAGGGAAUAGUCUGGUGAGAGUGAGUACCAAUUGUACCAAUUGUUCCAUUGGAACAAUUGGUACUCACUCUCACCAGACUAUUCCCUUAAAGUGGGAGGUCAAGGGUUCGAGCAGUGGGGGAGGCGACCUAAUUUCCAAAGGGAAAUUUGGGCCAAAUCCACUUGGGGUAAGAUGGGCCGUAGGUGCUCUCCCGAGGGACAAAUCCUGCCUGGAUCCCGUGAGGGUGAAGGGAUGUUAAGAGCUGCUCACAGUGGCGGGGCCCGAAGGAGGUCACGGGCUGUGGGUGGUAGCAGUGCCGGUCUCGGAGGAAGGCCGGGCUGUUACAAUAUGUCCCAAAGGGAGGGAACAUCAGAAGACUACUAUUAAAAGAAUGCCACGAUACGUUAUGGGCUGGACAUCCUGGUUGGCGACGCACGCUAGCUUUGCUAAAACAGGGCUAUUAUUGGCCUCACAUGGAAGAUGACGUGAAAGAGUAUACAAAGACUUGUUUGGUGUGCCAACAAGACAAAGUGGAUAGACAAAAACCGGCAGGUCUCUUGCAACCUCUACCAAUUCCAAGCAGACCUUGGGAGAGUGUUUCCUUGGAUUUCAUUGCGGGUCUACCAAAAGUGGGGGAGUAUGAUCACAUCUUAGUAGUCGUGGAUCGGUUUUCCAAGUAUGCAACCUUCAUACCAAUGUCGAGAUAUUGUUCAGCUGAAGAAACAACCAAAGCUUUCUUUAAACAUGUGGUGAAGUAUUGGGGUGUCCCAAAAAGCAUUAUCAGUGAUAGAGAUGGGCGGUUCACAGGUACCUUCUGGUCAGAGUUAUUUCACAUCUUAGGCACCAAGCUAAAUGUGUCGACAAGCUUUCAUCCUCAAACCGACGGACAGACAGAGCGAUUCAAUGGGUUGCUAGAGGAGUACUUGCGACACUUUGUCAGCACCAGCCAAAAGAACUGGGCCUCGUUACUUGAUGUUGCACAAUUUUGUUUUAAUUCUUUAAAGAGCUCUGCUACUAACAAAAGUCCAUUUGAGAUUGUUACAGGGCAACAACCACUGGCACCUCAUACUCUCGAUGUGCCAUACACAGGGAGGAACCCCAAGGCAUAUCAAUUUACGAAGGAAUGGAAGCGAAAUGCAGACAUUGCACGAGCUCAACUAGAGAAGGCAUCCAAGCAUAUGAAGAAGAUGGCUGACGAGCAUCGAAGACCUCAAGAAUUUGCAGUGGGAGACCUAGUGAUGGUGAAGCUGAUACCAGAACAACUGCGAUUCCUCCGCAACCGAGAUCGAAGAUUAGUGCGCAAAUAUGAAGGGUCAAUCCCAAUUAUUGCCAGAGUAGGGCCUGUUGCAUAUAAAGUGGAGCCACCGCAAUGGAUGAAGAUCCACCCAGUACUUCAUGUGAGCAGACUCAAGCCAUACCAUGCAGAUGUGACAGACGUCACCAGAAACCAACCCUCAAGACCAGCCGUUUCACGAUCAGCACCAGUACAUCAAGGCGUUGAAGAAAUUUUAGCUGAACGAGUUAUCAAGACCACCAAAAGCCCUCCUUACAAAGAGUACCUCGUCAAAUGGAAAGGCCUCAGCAUCGAAGAAACCAGUUGGGAGAAAGAGUCAAGCCUCCAACAACAUUCCCAGAAGAUUGAAGAGUUCCGUCAAACUCAGUCGACGAGGACGUCGACCGUUUAAGUGGGGGAGAGUGUUAGGGUUCUAGAAUAGUAGAGGGACUAAAAUGUAAUUUUCCCAACAUGGGAUUUUUCAGAAACAAGAUGGGUAGAAAUUAGUAUAAAAGAGUAGUAUCAAAAGUGUUAUGUCAAUUCCUUGUAAUUCAUUUUCAUGUAUUUAUUAAGGGGGGUGUCACCUCAGACAUAUUGAUGUCUCCUCCUGCCAUAGUUCAACUUGUCCUAAUGGCUCUUUAGGGGGGAGUGACUAGUUGGCCACCAGUGAGGACUGGGCCCAGCUGGCCACCGUAGGCCUAUCGAGUCCCUAUGUUGUGCCUCCACCCUUGUAGGCGUUCCCCCCUGUCUGCAAGUGGUGUGAGGACCUUUGUGCUGAGUUGUGUAAUGAUUGUUUUGCCCCUGGAAUGAAAUGAGUAGCCCUUUUUAUCAAAUAUUUGUGCCUACAUGUGAUACUUUUGUUGCUUAUGCCUUUAUGCUUGUUGGAUGUUGAUAUUUGCUCGAUAUGUAUUGAUCUUGCUCGCUUUAAUAGCUUUCUAGCCUCUCGGCUAACCAACUUGCUUCGUCGUGCAGAUUAACGUGUAGACACAUUGGCUGACUUGCCUUGAUAGUGUUCAAGUCAAGUGCCACACGGUCCCAACUGAGAGCCAAAGCCUG